UGUACUCUAGCUCAGUUUGGUAGAGCAUCGCAUCAGUAACGCGGAGGUCAUGGGGUUCAAAUCCCGGGGGGGACUUCCAUAUAA